rnacentral:lncRNA from 1 species
AUAACCCAAUAUUUAUUUAUGCUAGACCCAAAUCCCUCCAAUCCUAGCCGUUGAGCUUUUAAGAUCAAUGGCCCUUAUUUGCUCAUUCCUUUUAAUUAACCUACCAUCCCCCAAAACCUAUCCAUUCUUAGUAGACGAUCGCCCUUAAACCCCACGUCUCUUCUCCUCUGAAACCCUAAGAGCCGUCACCCCAAUCUCCCUUUUAUUCCAACCAGAUAUAGAAUUAAUCGAUGAUCUUAUUACCUUAUUUAUCUUGUCUCGCUACUAGUUACUCGAUUAUGGUAUAACAUAGUGGUUUGCCUAACAUGGCUAGACAUUUCCAUACCAAAUCUGAUUCGAACUUUCCUCCCUUUUUUCAUCUAUGUUCAAUCUUCACCUCUUUGGGCCCGAAUCUCUGAAGAAGGGUUUAGAUCUUUUAAGAUAUGUUUAAAAAAAAUCAUAUUUUUUGUUAAAAAAUCUUCUUUAUAUUUCCCUGUACCUGUCAAUGAAUGUUUUUUUUUUUGCAAUUUUCAUAAAAAAAAAAUUUCUGAUUAAUCUCAGUUGCCCUAAAAUUAGGGCUCAGAUUCUUUUUAAGAUAUGUUUUGGUUAUAUUUUGGUUCAGUAUAUUCUUAUGUUCCUCUAUACUUGUCUAUGUGCAUUUUAUUGAAAUUUUUGUGAUAUUGGUGAAGAGUUUUAUUUGCCCUAAAAUUAUGGCUUAGAUAUGUUAUUGUUUUUGUUUUUUGUUAAAAUGUUUUCUUCAAUGUUUUUCUGCAUGUUAUUAUGAUUUUCCUUUGAUUAUUACAACUAAUUAAACUAAUCCCUAAAUUAGGGUUUCAACUAUUAUUUCACUUUACUCACUGAUUUUGUCUAUCUAUUUAUGACUCUUGCCUUUAAAUUAAGAGUCUGCGAUCCCAUACCUGUUUUAUUCCCAAAAAUUACUCUGUUAAAAUUCAUGUGUUUUAUUUAUACACGUACUAUUACUUCUAGUUUACCUUGAAUAAUGUUCUGAGUUUCCUUUCCUAAAUUGGUUAAUUGAUUACGUCCAUGUUUAUGUGCUCUAGUCUAAUGCUAUUUAAACCCCUCCUUUUUUACCCUUGGACAAGACUCACAACUCGAGUAUUUCUCACUACAAUAUACUAAAUUGUUAUUGUAGUCUGAUUUGACUCCUGGCCGCCCUGGAAGCUAAGGCAAGAAAUCUUCUAUUAUUUCCUGGUGUCGAUAAUCAUUAAUGCAUUGCUAACUUCUUUUUAUUUCAUAUGAACUAGUAAGUGAUUGGAGCAUUUUUCUACUUUGUUACUCAUUAAAUAUGUUAAUGCUAAUUGAUUAGCUUCUUUCUGUAUUAUAGACAUGUUUAACUCGAUAUAUUAAUUAACAAAAUCUUCUUAAUUAUGUGUAACUUAAGACUGUCUUUUCAUAUUAAGUACGUUUUGAUGCCUUUCAGCAAAAACUAGUUGAUCAUGUACCCUUAGUUUGUUGCUGAAUCCGUUAACAUGUUAUCUAAUUUUGUGUUCAUCAAGCUACUCGUCCUCACUAAUAACGAAUCUGCUUCUUGACUCAUUAUUGAUCAAUGAAUUGCCUUUCUGUGACUUAUCCUAGUUUGAAUUAUGUUAUCUUCCAUGAAAGUAUGCUCAUGAGUUGGUUAACUAUCCAUAAAUAUGCUUCCCAGUCGUUGCCUACACUCUUUUAAAUUCUGAUUCCCUGCUCAUUAAAACCCUUGUGAACUAUGAUACACCACGAUUCGGUGUAAAGUUUUCCCUGGAACUAUUGAGAUUAUUCUUCUCUAGUAUGAUUAUUGCUCUGGGUUCUCGAAGCCCUUGGGAACUUUGGAACACUAGAGAUAUGGGUUCUGUAUGAUUAUCUGUGAGAUAUGGAUGGAUCACUCACCAUUUGUCAUGUUGUACCUAUGAACAUGGGCUUCAGAGAUGCUGCGAGUUGAAGACCUGGUUCGUCCUGGUGCAUUAGGGCCUGAUAAAGGCCUUCUAUAGUUUUUAUACUCUAUCGUCCAUUCAUUCAAUUGCGGUCUAUAAUAAUUAUUUGUAAUAACGAUUUGGUCAAUAGUGAACUGGGAAAACUGGGCUUAGUUUUAACUAUUGCAUGAGAAUCGGUAGAAAUCCUGCCCAUAGGUGUUUAUUUGGCCCAUUCUACUAUUGUGUUAGAUAACCUAUCUAUACAUCUUUUCUGCUAUUUAUGUUAGAUGACAUACCAAUAGGUGUUCACUAUUAUUAUUAGAAAACUUGCCUAUAGGUUUACUUACGCGAGGAUAUAUUCUUCUAAUUGGGUGCGAAAAACUUGUCUAAAUAUUUACGUCUGCCAUCUGUCACUCCUCCUUUUUCCUACACCCCGGAAGGGAGUAUAAGGGAGUUUUUUUUCAAUUUAAAGUGACAAUCGAAACGCGAUUAUUUAUUUAAAAAUCAGAGUCGCCACUUGGGAUAAUUUAUGGUGUCCCAAGUCACCAGUUUCAAAUCCCGUAUCGAGGAAAGAUUGACUCUAUUUUACAGUCCGUGAACACAAAAAUACUGGUAAGGAAUUUUGUUAACC